CUCUCCUGCCUCCCUCCCUCCCCAGCCGGCGGACGCAUAUUAGUGCCUCUGGGUCGGUGAGGGAGAUAGCGUCGGCUCUGCAUGGGCCGACAGGGGAGAUCCUGUGAUCUCCCCUACCGGCCUCGGCCCACAGCCAUCACGGCACACUGGGCAUUUACCUGCUAUGCCCAAUGGCUAGUCUAGGCCUGCACACAUACCUUUAUAUACAGAUACAAGGUUAUAG